rnacentral:lncRNA from 1 species
CACGUUUCCCAUUGGCCGCCGUUUCCGGAAGCCCGCCCUCCCAUUUCCGGAAGCCUGGCGCAAGGUUGGUCUGCAGGUGGCCUCCAGGUGCAAAGUGGGAAGUGUGAGUCCUCAGUCUUGGGCUAUUCGGCCACGUGCCUGCCGGACAUGGGACGCUGGAGGGUCAGCAGCGUGGAGUCCUGGCCUUUUGCGUCCACGGGUGGGAAAUUGGCCAUUGCCACGGCGGGAACUGGGACUCAGGCUGCCCCCCGGCCGUUUCUCAUCCGUCCACCGGACUCGUGGGCGCUCGCACUGGCGCUGAUGUAGUUUCCUGACCUCUGACCCGUAUUGUCUCCAGAUUAAAGGUACGACAUUUGGAGGCCCCAGCGAGAAACGUCACCGGGAGAAACGUCACCGGGCGAGAGCCGGGCCCGCUGUGUGCUCCCCCGGAAGGACAGCCAGCUUGUAGGGGGGAGUGCCACCUGAAAAAAAAAUUUCCAGGUCCCCAAAGGGUGACCGUCUUCCGGAGGACAGCGGAUCGACUACCAUGUGGGUGCCCACAAAAAUUCCACCUCUGAGUCCUCAACUGCUGACCCCGGGGUCAGGUCCAGAUUUUGAACAAAUCUCGCUAGAGAUUGAACAGAGCUGCGCCUGGAUCCCGCCACAGUGAGGAGACCUGAAGACCAGAGAAAACACAGCAAACGGAGUCUUGCUCUGUUGUCCAGGCUGGAGUGUAGUGUGGCGAUCUCGGCUCCCUGCAAGAAUCUGCCUCCCAGAUUCACGCCAUUUUCCCACCUCAGCCCCUGGAGUAGCUGGAAGUACAGGCUCCCGCCACCACGCCUGGCUAAUUUUGUUUUUGUAUUUUUAGUAGAGACGGGGUUUCACUGUGUUAGGUAGGAUGGUCUCGAUCUCCUGACCUCAUGAUCCAUCCGCCUUGGCCUCUCAAAGUGCUGGGAUUACAGGCAUGAGCCACCGCACCUGGCUGUUUUUUCAUUUCUAUUAUGAUUUGUUCUGUGGAAUGUCAGUGACUUAGCGGUGUUUUUCACAUGUUUAUAAAGCUGAAUAGUUCUGUAUGUCAGCUCAGCACCCCUAGUGUCAGUCAUGCUACUCUCCUGCUGUGCAUAGAUGGGGGCCUGUCCACACCCAAAUCUCCUGGGUUCCCGCUGUCCGCACCUGAAGGUACCCACCAGAUGUGUCUGUCACUGCCCUCCAUCCACCUUUCUUGUGGUUCUCAUGUUUCUGCCUCCCUAGAGACCAUUUCUCUCUACAGCAGUAGUUUCCAAUAGAAAUACAAUGCCAGACACAUACGUCAUUUUAGAUUUUCUAGUAGUCACUUUAGAAAAGUGAAAAAGAGGCCAGCUGCAGUGGCUCACACCUGUAAUCCCAGCACUUUGGAAGGCUGAGGUGGGUGGAUCACGAGGUCAGGAGAUCGAGACCAUCCUGGCCAACAUGGUGAAACCCCCUCUCUACUAAAAAUACAAAAAAUUAGCUGGGCGUGGUGGCAGGCGCCUGUAGUCCCAGCUACUCGAGAGGCUGAGGCAGGAGAAUGGCGUGAACCCGGUAGGCAGAGCUUGCAGUGAGCCGAGAUAGCGCCACUGCACUCCAGCCUGGGCGACAGAGGGAGACUCCAUCUCAAAAAAAAAAAAAAGGUUACAAAGAAACAGGUGAAAUUAGUUUUAUUUCACCUAAAAUGUUAGCAUUAUCCAAAAUAUCACUUCAACAUCUUAUCAAAAUAAAAAUUAUUAAUGAGAUAGCUUACAGUCUUUCUUUUCUUUGAGACAGGGUCUUGCUUUGUGGUCCAGGCUGGAAUGCAGUGGCACCAGCAUAGCUCAUUGCAGUUUCAGACUCCUGGGCUUGAGAUCCUCCUGCCUCAGUCUUCCUAGUAUUCGGACUACAGGCACACACCACCAUGCCACGCUAGUUUUUUUUUUUUUUUAAAGACAGGGUCUCACUCUGUCAGCCGGGCUGGAGUGCAGUGGCACAAUCUCGGCUCACUGCAGCCUCGAUCUCCGGGGCUGAAAUGAUCCUCCCACCUCAGCCUCCCAAGUAGCUGGGACCAAAAACAUGUGCCACCACGCCUGAAUAAUUUUUGUAUUUUUUUGUUAAGACAGGGUUUCGGCAUGUUGUCCAGGCUGGUCUUGAACUCCAGAGCUGAAGUGAUCCACCCACCUUGGCUUCCCAAAGUGUUGGGAUUACAGGCAUGAGCCACUGCACUCGGCCUAAUUUUUUUUUUUUCUGAAGAGAUGAGGUCUUGCUAUGUUGCCCAGUCCAGUCUCAAACUUCUGGCUCAAGCAGUCCUCCCGCCUUGGCCUUCCAAAGUGCUGGGAUUACAGAUGUGAGCCACCACACUGGCCCAUUCUUUCUUUUAUACUGAGUAUUCAGAAUUUUUUUAAAAUGUGUUUUCCACUUACAGCAUUUCUCAGGUUGGACUAGCCAUCUUUCAAGUGCUCAGCAGCCACAUGUGGCAAGUGGCUGCCUUAUUGGACAGCACAGCUCUGGAGGGUGAUUUUAUGUACAUCCCCACUGCUCUCUCUGCCUCCUUUAUUCCCAUCUACCCCACACCCCUGCAGUCUGUGACUAUCGUGUCCCUCUCUCCUCUCUUUCUGUCUCUUGUAAUUCUUUAAUAUGGAGAAUUAUUUCCAAUUCCUUAACAUCCUGCGCUGAUUUUUUUCUGUCUUACAUUCAAGGGUCACAGUUUUCCUCUCACCCUCAUUUCAGUCUUUUCCCAUAACACGUGACGUGCCUUUUUGUCUUGGUUGGGUAUUUAUUUGCAAUACAAGAAUGAUUGUUUUCUUUGAUACAUUAGUGACUUACAUAGUUUUCAUGUUUUUUGAGUACCUCUUUCUUGACAGAAUUUCAAAUUAAUUCUAGCGUUAAACUAGAAAUCUUUUUUUUUUUUUUUGAGACACAGUCUUCCUAUGGCAACCAGUCUGGAGUGCAGUGGUGCAAUCUCAGCUCACUACAACCUCUGCCUUCCAGAUUCAAGUGAUUCUCCUGCCUCAGCCUCCCGAGUACCCGGGAUUACAGAUGUGCACCACCAUGCCUGGCUAAUUUUUGUCUUUUUAGUAGAGACAGUUUUUUGCCAUUUUGGCUAGGCUGGUCUUGAACUCCUGACCUCAAGUGAUCUGCCUGCCUCAGCUUCCCAAAGUGCUGGGAUUACAGGGGUGAGCCACUGUGCCCAACCUAGAAAGCUUAUUUUAUUUUAUUAUUAUAAUUAAUUUUAUUUUUUUGAGAUGGAGUCUCGCUCUGUUGCCCAGGCUGGAGUGCAGUGGCGCAAUCUCUGCUCACUGCAAGCUCCACCUCCCAGGUUCACGCCAUUCUCCUCCCUCAGCCUCCUGAGUAGCUGUGACUACAGGCGCCCGCCACCACACCUGGCUAAUUUUUUGUAUUUUUCAUGGAGACAGGGUUUCACCAUGUUAGCCAGGAUGGUCUCAAUUUCCUGACCUCGUGAUCCACCCGCCGUGGCCUCCCAAAGUGCUGGGAUUACAGGCGUGAGCCACCGCGCCUGGCCUAUAAUUAAUUUUUUUGAGAUGGAGUCUUACUCUGUCUCCCAGGCUGGAGUACAGUGGCACAUCUUGGACCCCUGCAACCUCUGCCUCCUGGGUUCAAGCAGUUCUCUCUACCUCAGCCUCUCCAGUAGCUGGGAUUACAGGUGCCCACCACCAUGCCCAGCUAAUUUUUGUAUUUUUAGUAGAGAUGGGGUUUCACCAUGUUGGCCAGGCUGGUCUCGAACCCCUGACCUCAGGUGAUACGCCCGCCUCGGCCUCCCAAAGUGUGAGAUUACAGGCAUCAGCCACUGCACCCGGCCAGAAAGCUUAUUUUAAAAGGUGUGUAUAGAGCCCCUUAUGUUUCUGCUUGAUUUUUUAAAUAACAUAUUUAUGUCUAUAUAUUUUAGGAUGUAAUAUCUCACUGUAUGUGUUGCUUUGCAUCAUUGAACAUUUUUGGUAAUUAUUUUCUAUAUAUUUUAGAUAUUUCAUUAAACUAAUACAGAAUUUCAUAUUCAGGGCCAGGCAUAGUGGCUCAUGCCUGUAAUCCCAGCACUUUGAGAGUCCAAGGCGGGCGCAUCACCUGAGGUCAGGGGUUCGAGACCAUCCUGGCCAACAAGGGAAAACCCCAUCUCUAUUAAAAAUACAAAAUUAGCCGGGUGUGGUGUUGCACGCCUGUAAUCCCAGCUACUUGGAAGGCUGAGGCAGGAGAAUCGCAUGACCCCGGGGGCAGAGAUUGCAGUGAGCUGAGAUCUUGCCACUUCAUUCCAGCCUGGGCCACAGAGCAAGACUCCUUCUCAAAAAAAAAAAAAAAAAAAAAAAAUUCAUAUUCGCUCAUAUCAAAAAUGAAAAUUUAUUUUUGCAAAUUUCUAAGUGAUAGAAUUAUUUUAAUGUAGGAAAGGUUCAUCAAAAAUGGGUGUAGUGAUUGUGUUCUUUCCUAUGCUCGAAUGGAAAAUGAUGAGGGGACACGAUGUUAGAGUUGCAGUGGGAAGGGGUGGAAAAGAGGGAUUCCAGAGUGCCAGGCACACAGGUUUUCUGGAAGGUUUACAUGAGGACUGCUGUGGUUUGAAUGUGUUCCCCAAAGUUCAUGUGUUGGAAACUCAACCCCUAAUGCAACAGUGUUGACCAGUGGAACCUUUAAGAGGUGAUUAGGUCAUGAAGGCUCUGCCCUCAUGAAUGGAUGAAGCUAGAGUGGGUUAGUUAUCUUGGGAGGGGGUUCCUGAUAAAAGGAUGAGGUUGGCUUCCUUCCCUUUCUCUUUCCCCCUCCCCCCUCUCACAUGUGGUCACUCUCUUGCCCUUCCACCUUCCACCAUAGGACGGCACAGUGAGACCUUCACCAGAUGCAGGCCCCUCACUUUCCCAGUGUUCAGAACCGUAAACCAAGUGAACUCUUGCUUAUAAAUCACCCAGUCUGUGGUAUUCUGUUAUAGCAACACAAACGGACUAAGAGAGGGACACUCAGUGGGCUCUUCUACUUGAUGGAGCACUCCCUGCGUGGUGCCUUGUAUUUGUAGACAUGAUGCUGUAAAUGCUCUUUGAAUGUCUUGAAGGCUUUUAUGUUUGAGGAGUUUACAGAGAAGCACCUACAGGCUUCAGGUCCCUUCUUCUGUUGCUUCUUUGCUCCUUAGUUCCUCCCCUAACCUGGUGCUAAAUUAGAUCAUAGUGUGGUCCUUGGACCAACAGUAUCAAUAGCACCUGAAAAUCAUGCUGGAAAUACAGAUUCACAGGCUGCUCCCUAGAAUACUGAAGAAGAAACUCUAGGAGUGAGACCCAACAAUCUGUAUUUAACAAGUCCCCAGGCCCCUGGAUCCUCCUGGAAUCCCCGAUCCCUCUUGCUCCCUGGCAGAGUUUUCUAGUCCCUCUUACUUGAAGCAUGUCUUUCAGAGCCCGGCACCACCCAUCUUGAGUAUCUGGUGGAUUUUCACAUCUCAAGCCAGCUAAGAGUAUGGGAAAUAGGACUCGUUAAAGCACAGAUAUCACACAAGUGAUUCAGAUUCACGAGGGUAAUCCAGAUGAAGAUACCCCAUCAGCCUGAGUCUCUUAAAGGCCUUUAUACACAUAUGUCUACACAUAGGGAUUUGGAUGAUCUCGGGAUCCCACAUCCUCGCUGUCCCCUGUCCCCCCGCAACAUCCCCCACCAAUACCUUUCUGAAGUUUUCUAGUCCCUCCUUUUUGUUUGUGCUCCUUAAAGCCCAGCCCCAUGCCUGACUUUGGUUCCCAGUGAGCAUUGUACAUUUGUGGAUAUUAAAUCUUUGGCAAAGUCAUUUACCUGGGCUGGAAUAGGGCUCUUGGCUGAUUCUUUUUCCUAAACACCCACCCAAUGGGAGAGGCUGAUACUCAACAUGCAAACCUUGUGUUUUAUUUCUCCAGGCGAAGGGAUGUUGGAAGACAUUCUGGAAGGGGUGGGGUGUGAAGAUUUACAAAUAAUCUUUGAAUAUCUGCUUCAUGAUAGGUCUUGGAGGUGCCUUGUGGGUGUGGCUUUGGGGGGAUGGUUACGAGGAAAUUGUGGAUAUUAAGGAAGUCAGGAAAGGAAAAGAUCAGUCACAAUUCAACAAUUCAGAGAAAGCUCCUAAGGGACUUUCUGGCUGCUUGAUGCCCAGAGGCCAGGCCCUCACUUCGUAUUAAGGCUCAGGACUGUGGAUAGAGAAUUUAAAGGGGCACCAAAAAAAACAUUAAAAUAGAUAAACAUAUUUUUAAUGGAAUACCUUUAAAAAUGCAAAUCAAUGCACAAAGAAAACGCCCA